GAGAAAUGAGGAGAAAUUUUCAUGCAGUCUGAUAUACCAAUGAAGACUCAGAUCCAACUCUGAUCUCAAAUUUUUA